CAACAUGAAGAGGGCGCUGCUGACGCAAGACAUGGUGCUCCACCUCCCUUUCCUCCAAGAGAUAUUAGUCAAAGACUGCAAGGGCAUAGAGGUGAUAAUGGGCACUGUUGCCAAAAUGACGGACUUUUCCUUCCUGAAGUUAAUGAGCCUUGGUCUAUGUAAUCUUCCGGAGCUGAAGAGCAUAUGCGAUGGGACCACGAGAUGCAAUUCCCUCCAGUUGAUAUCUAUUCGCAAUUGUCCAAAACUGAAGGGGAUUCCUCUGCAGCUGCCUGUGCUUGACAAUGGGCUCCCUUCUCCUCCCCCUUCUCUUCAAGAUAUUAGUCAAAGACUGCAAGGGCAUAGAGGUGAUAAUGGGCACUGUUGCCAAAAUGACGCAUUUUUCCUUCCUGAAGUUAAUGAACCUUGGUCUAUGUAAUCUUCCGGAGCUGAAGAGCAUAUGCGAUGGGACCACGAGAUGCAAUUCCCUCCAGUUGAUAUCUAUUCGCAAUUGUCCAAAACUGAAGGGGAUUCCUCUGCAGCUGCCUGUGCUUGACAAUGGGCUCCCUUCUCCUCCCCCUUCUCUUCAAGAUAUUAGUCAAAGACUGCAAGGGCAUAGAGGUGAUAAUGGGCACUGUUGCCAAAAUGACGCAUUUUUCCUUCCUGAAGUUAAUGAACCUUGGUCUAUGUAAUCUUCCGGAGCUGAAGAGCAUAUGCGAUGGGACCACGAGAUGCAAUUCCCUCCAGUUGAUAUCUAUUCGCAAUUGUCCAAAACUGAAGGGGAUUCCUCUGCAGCUGCCUGUGCUUGACAAUGGGCUCCCUUCUCCUCCCCCUUCUCUUCAAGAGAUUCGGAUAAAUCAGCAGACGUGGGAGUCGCUGGAGUGGGAUCAUCCCCUUGCCCGUUCUACACUUG
rnacentral:lncRNA from 1 species